UAACUUGAGAGUUUGAUCCUGGCUCAGAAUCAACGCUGGCGGCGUGCCUAACACAUGCAAGUCGAACGCGAAAGGGACUUCGGUCCUGAGUAGAGUGGCGAACGGGUGAGUAACGCGUGGGUGACCUACCCUCGAGUGGGGGAUAACGUUCCGAAAGGGACGCUAAUACCGCAUGACAUUCCUGGUUUGAAGACUGGGAAAUCAAAGCCGGGGACCGCAAGGCCUGGCGCUUGAGGAGGGGCCCGCGUCUGAUUAGCUAGUUGGCGGGGUAACGGCCCACCAAGGCGACGAUCAGUAGCCGGCCUGAGAGGGCGGACGGCCACACUGGGACUGAGACACGGCCCAGACUCCUACGGGAGGCAGCAGUGGGGAAUUGUUCGCAAUGGGCGCAAGCCUGACGACGCAACGCCGCGU
rnacentral:rRNA from 1 species